UUGAGAACUUACACAUCGGUAGCCCUGUGGGAGUAAGUCUAUCAUGCAUCUGCUGUUUUUGCUCAUGUCUGAGACACAGAUCUCAAGAGGAAAAUCUGGAAAAGGACAAAAUGGAAGAAUGAACUGUAGUAAGAUUUGGGGCCUUAUGCUAAUUCUUGCCCAGUCUUGAGUUAAAGAUUUGUGUUACCUUAACAUGUACAGUAACUCCUCACUUAAAGUCAUCCCGGUUAACAUUGCUGAUCAUUUAGGGAACAUGCUCAUAUAAAGUUGUGCAAUGCUCCCUUCUAAUGUCGUUUGGCAGCUGCCUGCUUUGUCUACUGAAGAGUAUCUCAGUGAAAGUUUUAAUCCUCUGCCAAAGGUUUGGGAUGGAAGCCUUAUUUCUUCUUCCGUAGUAGGAUGCUUUCCCAUACCAGACCGUGAUAACUUUGGCAGGCAUCAUUGCAGUACCCAGGCUAGCAACACGCGGGCAGCUUCAGAACGCCAGCAGCAGCUGUGCUCUCUAUACCGGGGUCGGCAACCUACAGCACGCAUGCAAAAGAGUGGAUUUCUUCAAUAUGAUAUAUUAUUUGCUUCCUUAUCACACACCAGAUCAUUGGGUUCUUGCGAUAGCAUUGAUGCAAACAAAAUAAUUAUUAACAAUUGACCCCUUGUGUGAUGAGAUGAGAUAUGAAAGAACAUGUCUAAGGAAUUGGAGUUUCAGAUACUUCAUCAAACGAUUAACGAGCAACUCCCCAUCUGAUUGGAAGAAUAAAAUUCUUCAGCAUAAUAAACAAAAAGUGAUGGCCACAACUGCAGACCACUUAUCUUAAAGUUUGCAGAAACGUAUUUGCGGCAGAAAGACAGCCUCUUGUGAUGUUUCUAUUGAAUUGAUAAUGCUGAGUUUAGAAGACAAGUAGCAAUUGUUCUAGUGAAAGAGUCAGAAAGCGUGGAGGACUACUGCAUAUACUGCAACCUUGUCAGUUGUGAAAAGGAAAGUGAGGAUUGCACGAUGGUCCAGUGUGAUUCUUGCAAGAGGUGGGUACAUAUGCCCUGCAUUCCAGAAGGAACAAAUCAUGAAAUCCUCACUGAUGAGGAA